rnacentral:rRNA from 1 species
CCUACGGGUGGCUGCAGUGAGGAAUAUUGGUCAAUGGACGAGAGUCUGAACCAGCCAAGUAGCGUGAAGGAUGACUGCCCUAUGGGUUGUAAACUUCUUUUAUAUGGGAAUAAAAUGUUCCACGUGUGGGAUUUUGUAUGUACCAUAUGAAUAAGGAUCGGCUAACUCCGUGCCAGCAGCCGCGGUAACACGGAGGAUCCGAGCGUUAUCCGGUUUUAUUGGGUUUAAAGGGAGCGUAGGUGGAUUGUUAAGUCAGUUGUGAAAGUUUGCGGCUCAACCGUAAAAUUGCAGUUGAAACUGGCAGUCUUGAGUACAGUAGAGGUGGGCGGAAUUCGUGGUGUAGCGGUGAAAUGCUUAGAUAUCACGAAGAACUCCGAUUGCGAAGGCAGUUCACUGGACUGCAACUGACACUGAGGCUCGAAAGUGUGGGUAUCAAACAGGAUUAGAUACCCUUGUAGUC